GCUUUAUACUGUUGUUAAUUUUGUUUAUGUAGGGGUAAUUAAGUUAAAUUAACGGUAGUAUUUUGUUGGGGUGACAGGAAGAUAAAAAAAACUCUUUUUAAAAUUUAAGUCAUUGAUGUAUGAAUUGUUGAUCCGUUAUUAAUGAUUAAAAGACUAAGU
rnacentral:rRNA from 1 species